rnacentral:lncRNA from 1 species
CAAAAGAGAGGCCUCCCCAAGUGCUCCACCCGCUUCCCCGGCGCCGAGCGGCGUCUACACCCGCGGGAACUCACCACCUAAGCCGUCGCUCAGACCGACAGCGCCCGCCAAGCUACGCUGCAAAGACACACAGCUUCUUUCUUCCCUGGUUCCGGCUACCCCCUUCCGCGAGCUAAUCAGGGCCCGCAAACUCCGUCUUAAUGUGCAGGCCUGAAUAUCUCUCAUCCAGUUCUUUUAAAAACUGAAAAUCUCCAUCCUUGAGAGAUUUAGGAGGAUCCUCUUUCUCAUUCUUCCUGAAGACCCCAAAUGACUUCUCAAUGCUCUUUCCCCCUAAAACCCAUAAUCCCCCCAAUAAUUCAUGAGACCCAAG